rnacentral:rRNA from 1 species
CAGUCGCCGCGGUAACACGUAGGGUGCAAGCGUUAAUCGGAAUUACUGGGCGUAAAGCGUGCGCAGGCGGUGUUGUAAGACUGAUGUGAAAUCCCCGGGCUCAACCUGGGAACUGCAUUGGUGACUGCAACGCUGGAGUGCGGCAGAGGGGGAUGGAAUUCCGCGUGUAGCAGUGAAAUGCGUAGAUAUGCGGAGGAACACCGAUGGCGAAGGCAAUCCCCUGGGCCUGCACUGACGCUCAUGCACGAAAGCGUGGGGAGCAAACAGGAUUAGAUACCCCCGUAGUCCCUGUCUCUUAUAA